GCUGGGUGUGGUAGCUCACACCUGUAAUCCUAGCACUGUAGGAGGCUGAGGCAGGAGGAUCCCUUGAGCUCAGGAGUUUUGAGACCAGCCUGGGCAACAUAGGGAGACCUUGUCUCUA
rnacentral:SRP_RNA from 1 species